UAAUACGUAGGUGGCAAGCGUUAUCCGGAAUUAUUGGGCGUAAAGCGCGCGUAGGCGGUUUCUUAAGUCUGAUGUGAAAGCCCACGGCUCAACCGUGGAGGGUCAUUGGAAACUGGGAAACUUGAGUACAGAAGAGGAAAGUGGAAUUCCAGUGUGUAGCGGUGAAACGCGCAGAGAUAUGGAGGAACACCAGUGGCGAAGGCGACUUUCUGGUCUGUAACCUGACGCUGAUGUGCGAAAGCGUGGGGAUCAAACAGGAUUAGAUACCCUGGUAGUCCACGCCGUAAACGAUGAGUGCUAAGUGUUAGGGGUUUCCGCCCUUAGUGCUGCAGCUAACGCAUUAAGCACUCCGCCUGGGGAGUACGACCGGCAAGGUUGAAACUCAAAGGAAUUGACGGGGGCCCGCACAAGCGGUGGAGUAUGUGGUUUAAUUCGAAGCAACGCGCAGAACCUUACCUGGGUUUGAACAUCCCCUGACACUUGCAGAGAUGUAAGCUUCCCUUC
rnacentral:rRNA from 1 species